rnacentral:snRNA from 1 species
AUACUUUCCUGGUUCCGGAGCCUCGAGGAUCACCGAGGACGAGCCCCCAGGGCUAGGCACUCGCAUUGCCCUGCACUCGCGUUGACUCCUGCCACUACCCCAAACUGGGGCAGAUGGGGCAUGCAAAUUGCUUGAAUCCGCUUCAAC